AUUGAACGCUGGCGGCGUGCCUAAUACAUGCAAGUCGAACGCAGUGGGGACGGGUGAGUAACACGUGGGUAACCUCCCAUCAGAGUGGAUAACACUUGGAAACAGGUGCUAAACCGAUAUUGGUGGAUGUAGCCGCGGUGCAUUAGCUAGUUGGGGAGGUAACGGAUCACCAAGGCGACGAUGCAUAGCCGACCUGAGAGGGUGAUCAGCCACACUGGGACUGCGACACGGCCCAGACUCCGACGGGAGGCAGCAGUGGGGAAUUUUGGACAAUGGGGGAAAGCCUGAUGCAGCCAUGCCGCGUGUGCGAUGAAGGCCUUCGGGUUGUAAAGCACUUUUGGCGGGAAAGCGGUACCUGCAGAAUAAGCACCGGCUAACUACGUGCCAGCAGCCGCGGUAAUUC
rnacentral:rRNA from 1 species